UACGUAGGGAGCAAGCGUUGUCCGGAAUCAUUGGGCGUAAAGCGCGCGUAGGCGGCCCCGUAAGUCCGCUGUGAAAGUCAAAGGCUCAACCUUUGAAAGCCGGUGGAUACUGUGGGGCUAGAGUCCGGAAGAGGCGAGUGGAAUUCCUGGUGUAGCGGUGGAAUGCGCAGAUAUCAGGAGGAACACCAAUUGCGAAGGCAGCUCGCUGGGACGUGACUGACGCUGAGACGCGAAAGCGUGGGGAGCAAACAGG
rnacentral:rRNA from 1 species